AUUUUGUUGCGAAAUUCCCAAAUGGCGUCUUCACCGGCUGAGAAAAAGGAUCAGAAACAAUGGGAAAAGUGUCCUUAGAGAGCUGAAAACGCCUCAUUUCAUGAGUGUCCUGAACUCCACUGCUCGACGCUGAACGUCCAAGUUGAGGAAUUUUGAUUUUUCCACAGAUCUCCACACCUGAAAGAUCACCGGGAAUAGGUCAUCACUUGUCGUUACGAGCAUUUCAUUGUCACGGGGAUUGAAAGCGACGCUAUUGACUACUUC